CAGGAAAUGAUGGCCUUGCUGAGAGCUUGUGCCAACCCAUCAUAUAUGGUAACCAUGAUGGGGACAGUCACAAUGUGGAAGGGCUGAUGAAAGACAAAUACAGUGCAGAUGGAGGGUGAUGUAAGAAGAGGCAUGGAGUUUGAGUUGAGAAUAGAGUAGUUUGCCAUUUUCUUCUCCAACUCAUUCAUAGAUGAGGAAACUGAGGCAAAAGGAUUAAGUGACCUGCUUACAGUCACACAACUAACUAGUUAUACCUUCUUCCAUCUUCUCUGAAGGACGGCAUCACUGGUCUUCUGGAAUCAUGAAUGACAUGUUUCCAUUCUGAUGACUGAGGAGCCAAGCCUGUAAUUUGCCCGCCAUAUCCAUCCUUCGCACCUCACCCCCGCCAGCAAGUUCUUCUUCAGUUACUACAAAAAUUGUCUAUUGUUCUUCAUAAGCUUCUGCCCAAGGUAAUUGCUUCUAUUCGUGCUGUUUGGGAGACCAUGAAAUAUGCUGCCAUUAUCAUUUUCACUGCAACAAUAUCCCGGACUCGGGAGGACCAUCACCACCAAAAGUCUUCCAGAAUUUCUAGAUUUUUUUUUCUGUUCUUUCGCCCCUAUUUCUUUUGCACAAUCCCCAGGAAGUCUCGCAUUCAAAGAGAAACUUGGUCUGAUCUCUCAGUUUCCGUAGCUAAAGUCUUUCAACUCUCUAAUAGACCAUAUGAAUUAACUGUCCCCAACUCAGGUCUAUCUGGAGCCAUUCAUUUGUGUAGGAGUGAGGGGCAGAUGGCAGCGCCCAUCCUGAGCGGCUGGUGACAAGGCGGACAUUUUCGGGCAUCCA